AGGAUCAACCAGGUAGCAUUCCUCACAGACAUCGAGUUACAAGAUGCGAGACAUGCUUGCAACACCAAACGUCAUCCGAAUGGGGCAUGUAAUGCCAAUAUAUGGGCAAAUAGAGGUCAAGACCCCGUACCCGCAAGGUGUUCCGCAUCCCGAAGGUCAAGAAAAAUUCAUGGGCCGUGAUGAAAACGCGAUACGUUUACAAAACGGGACACGAAUUUUACUUUCGUGUUUGUCCGAAGCCGCACCGUUUGCACGGGCAGCAGUGGGCAAAUCGGUAAAAAAUUGUCCAACGAUUUCCAUCAGCGUAGGUAUGUAACACAGAAAACCAACAACACGGACAAGGCUAAGACUAGCUCUUGUGCCGAAUAUUGAAGAGGAAUGCACGGUAGGACGUCGUUGCCCAAGCAAGGAUCCAA
rnacentral:misc_RNA from 1 species